CCGCGCAGCCGGGGAGAUAGCGGUGCCCUAUACCUGCAAUCCGCUACAGCAGGGGUGAUGCCAAACCGCGGGUUCUUCACUGUGGAGCCUGCCCUUUAUAAGUGGUGUUGAAGCCUGGGUCUUACGCAACAGAACUCUGUGAACCGUGUCAGGGCAGGAAUGCAGCAGCACUAAGCAGAAUCUUCUGUGUGCCGUAAGGCAGCCUGGGCCGAGCUAACUGUAGAGGUCCCGUCCAUGGUGGGAAUUCAAAGGGCGGCGCGCGG
rnacentral:SRP_RNA from 1 species